AUUGAACGCUGGCGGCAUGCCUCACACAUGCAAGUCGAACGGUAACAGGUCUUCGGAUGCUGACGAGUGGCGAACGGGUGAGUAAUACAUCGGAACGUGCCUAGUAGUGGGGGAUAACUACUCGAAAGAGUGGCUAAUACCGCAUGAGAUCUACGGAUGAAAGCAGGGGAUCGCAAGACCUUGUGCUACUAGAGCGGCCGAUGGCAGAUUAGGUUGUUGGUGGGAUAAAAGCUUACCAAGCCGACGAUCUGUAGCUGGUCUGAGAGGACGAUCAGCCAUACUGGGACUGAGACACGGCCCAGAAUCCUACGGGAGGCAGCAGUGGGGAAUUUUGGACAAUGGGCGCAAGCCUGAUCCAGCAAUGCCGCGUGCAGGAUGAAGGCCUUCGGGUUGUAAACUGCUUUUGUACGGAACGAAAAGCCCUGGGUUAAUACCCUGGGGUCAUGACGGUACCGUAAGAAUAAGCACCGGCUAACUACGUGCCAGCCGCCGCCGUAA
rnacentral:rRNA from 1 species